rnacentral:sRNA from 1 species
AAUCUACGUAAUGCUU